AUGAGUCCUGCAGCAAGCAUGAUAAGGUGACGUCAGACAGCAAACGUCAAGUACUUCACAGUUUCUCUCAUUCCACAUGUGGUUCAGGUGUCGUGACAGUUAAUACACUACAAAUUGGCCCUGAUCCUAUUGCACUUCCGGGUAGCAUUAAUCUUGCUUUCAAUGUGGAUGUCAAGCAAGAGCUGCAGUCACCGAUCAAGGUUCAUGUGACAGUAUGGAUGAAAAUCCUGUUUGUAUGGGUAAACGUGAGGGAAAUUUCUUAUGAUGCCGCGUGAGUUCUCCUGCAAGACCACAAAUGCCCUCAAGUCUUCGUUGACAACAACAUUUCCUGCAUGUGUCCGGUUACCACAGGUCAUUAUGUCCUUCCAAGAUCCAACUUUCCUGUCCAUGUCCCGUCCAUUCCUGGUGGGCAUUACUGUGCCAGAUUUAAUGUAAACAUGGGCUCAUCAACUGUGUUUUGUGAAGAUGUGUACUUCACA